UUGUUCAUGAGAGAGCACUGCAUUCCAAAAUGCAGCUUCUUCUGCUGUUAUACUGUAUUAUUACUUUUGUACAUUAUGCUCUUUGCCAAUCUUCAGUGAAGGUCAGCCAGUCACCAUCCCAUAUAAUAGUGAAGCAGAAUCAGUCUCUGAAAAUUCAGUGUAAUCAGAGUGCUACUAAUACCUACAUGGACUGGUAUCGGCAGCAGGGCUCAAGUGAACUUCAGCUGGUGUUGCGAGCUCUGUACAUGAGCAAACCAGAGUAUGGCGACAACAUACCCAAAAGAUUCAAUGCAAUUCGAUCAACACUAGAAAGCACCACACUCACAAUUGAUAAUGUAGAGACGUCUGACACAGGACUGUAUUUCUGUGCAGUUAGUGACACAGUGCACUAUAAUGUGAUAUCUGUAAUGUAA